GGAGGGGUGUCCGAGCGGUUGAAGGAGGCGGUCUUGAAAACCGUUGAGCCUUUGCGGGUUCCGUGGGUUCGAAUCCCACCCCCUCCGCCA
rnacentral:tRNA from 1 species